GCUCGAGUGGCGGAACUGGUAGACGCGCUGGAUUCAAAAUCCAGUAACUUCGGUUGUGCGGGUUCGAUUCCCGCCUCGAGUACUA
rnacentral:tRNA from 1 species